CACAGCUUUAGAAGAUGCAGCAGAUACCGGAGAUAGCACUCCAUCCAAGAAGCACCUCUGUAUUGAGAUGUUUUUCCACAGUUGCUGGAGGACACUUGCCCCUUGGUGGAUUACUUCUGAGAGAAAUCUCCCAAGAAUUCUCCCUGUACGAGUCUCAGCCCAUGUCCUUGCCAACCCCGUCAAAGACAAGAAAAUACGAUUCUCUGCUCCCUUUCAGAGAGGUUCGAUAACAUGGCCCAGAUUCAGGGGUCUUAGAAGCAGAUGGUGAUGGGCUAUGGAAAAUUAAAAAGCAAAGUCUA